GACAGAGGAUGCAAACGUUGUUCGGAAUUACUGGGCGUAAAGCGCGUGUAGGUGGCCGCGUAAGUCGGAUGUGAAAGCCCUCGGCUCAACUGGGGAAGCGCACCCGAAACUACGAGGCUGGAGUCUCGGAGAGGAUCGUGGAAUUCUCGGUGUAGAGGUGAAAUUCGUAGAUAUCGAGAGGAACACCGGUGGCGAAGGCGGCGAUCUGGACGGUGACUGACACUGAGACGCGAAAGCGUGGGGAG
rnacentral:rRNA from 1 species